CCUACGGGUGGCAGCAGUGAGGAAUAUUGGUCAAUGGGCGCGAGCCUGAACCAGCCAAGUCGCGUGAGGGAAGACGGCCCUACGGGUUGUAAACCUCUUUUGCCGGGGAGCAACGGGCGCCACGUGUGGCGCCACGGAAAGUACCCGGAGAAAAAGAAUCGGCUAACUCCGUCCCAGCAGCCGCGGUAAUACGGAGGAUGCGAGGUUUAUCCGAUUUUAUUGGGUUUAAGGGGGGCGUAGGGGGAGGGUUAAGUCAGGGGUAAAAUUUAGGGGCCCAACCCGGUCUCGCCAUUGAAACUGGCGGUCUUGAGAGGAAGAGAAGUAUGCGGAAUGCGUGGUGUAGCGGUGAAAUGCAUAGAGAUCACGCAGAACCCCGAUUGCGAAGGCAGCAUGCCGGCUUCCUACUGACGCUGAAGCACGAAAGCGUGGGGAGCGAACAGGAUUAGAUACCCGGGUAGUC
rnacentral:rRNA from 1 species